rnacentral:tRNA from 1 species
AAGAAAUUAGUUAAUAUAUAACAUUAAAAUGUCAAUUUAAAAUAAUUUUUUAUAAAAAUAUUUCUUA